rnacentral:lncRNA from 1 species
CUGAGCACUUAAAUGAGAGCUGCUGUUAGCAGAGGUUGCCAGUGGUGAAGUCUUUCAAAUGUAGUACGCAGACUUAAACUAGCUUCUAGAAUGAGCAGACAGAAAAGCAGUGAAAAGGUGAAAUGGGUGGCUUCUGCUUAAAGGCYGGAGGAGUGAAGGGAUGUCACUGUCAGAAUGAACUUUUAACCCAGGUGCCCCUGACUUCUAAAGCGAUAGGUUGCAGAUUGGGAGAAAGGAGUCAUUCUUGCACUGACAGACUUUCUCACAAAGUUCCAGAGUGAAAAUGGGUAAACUUAAUGCUGUUUUAUAAAGCCUCCUUGUCUGCUGGACUGAGACGUGUCAGCCAUAUUUUUACGCUCCAUAUUUCUAUUACAGGCCACGGUGGGGGAACGGUUGGAGCCCGUCAGUCGAGCGAUUCCUGCGUUCUCAAGAGGGAUAUCGGAUAACAUGGUUGCUCUCUCAAGUAACUGACUUGCCAUGUUUGUUUAAUAUAUCUUCUUAUUUUGGAGGAGGAAGGGGCAUUUUACAGCUACAAUGUAAUCUGUAUAUACCAGCAGGCUGUUUUUUCCUUAGGAAUGUAUUGUUCUCCUAUAUAGUGCUUCACGUAUUACUUCACAGACAAUAGUGGGUAUUCAUCGGUUUGUUCAUGCCCGGGCUUACUGACAUCUUUUUACUGUACUGGGUUAUCUCUCUGGUGCCUUCAGCUACCUCCUCCUAGCAGAUACAUACCUUAAUUGGACUGAUUCUGUUCUGUCUGUAUAUUUGCAUGAGCAACUUUUCCUUCUGGGGAAUUGUAUAAAUACUAGAAGCUGUCUGUUACCAUCUGAAGACGUGACUGAUGAGUUUAAAAUAAAUACGUCCAAGCUGAACCCUUUCUCCGAGAAGAAAGGCAGCCUUUUUGCGCAUCAGCUAGACUACUACGACUGUUUCCAAAAGGCAUGUUUUCUCAACUCUGUAAUAUUUUCUCAUUCUGUUUUUUCAGUUUACACAGCAGAACUACAUCACUUUCAUAUUAAAACAGUAUUCUGAAGAAGUGUUUUCUUUAUAUUUUGUAUUUAUGUAGAUAUACAAACUGUAUUCACAUCAGAUAUGUAGCUUGUAACAGAGCUUGUGAAUGUCAUUGGGGGUAAGAUCUGAGGUGCGACACUGCGCCGUGAUCGGUGUUUUAAUUUCAAGACUGAUGUUACCCCACUAAAAAUUCCAAAGGCAAGCAA